GACGGAUGCACAAAAAGGACACUUUGCAAUUAUUAGGACGGCAUGAGGAGAGGGACAGUGAGAAUGGGCCCCAUUCAGAUAGGCUGCUUACAAAGUCUGCCAGAGUAAUUCAGGAUACUUUCCACUCUGUCAUUUUCAGAGUCCAUAGAGCUUGACUUGAGAAAAGGAGUAUGUUAUAUAAUUUUUAAAGGCAUUUUUUGAAUCGAGUCUUGUUGCUUCAGUAUUAAAAUUAGACUUUAUUUCCCAAGCAAACACAAUUGGACCUGGCAGAGAGAGGACACAGAUGCUCUGCGUGAUGGGGAAAUCCCACCAGGGCCAGACGCUGCUAUAACUCAGCCCCUCCAGGGAGCAACCAUGAUCUCUGCAAACUGAUGAUGGAAGAAAGGGGAGCCAGAAGAUACUGUGCUCUGGAUUC
rnacentral:lncRNA from 1 species